ACAAAAAAGGGAAAAACAAAAAAGAGAAAAACAAAACUGUUCAAUUGAUCCUGCAAUCCGGAAAGCCAUUGGUUAUGAAGCUCCCAAUCUCAGCUACCGUAUACGAGCUAAAGGCUGAGCUUCAGAGCCUUCUCAAUAUUGAGCCGGAAACAUUGGAGAUUUCUGCAUCUGAUGUAACGUGUGCCGAUUCAGAUCUUUUAACUGAAGUUGCUGGUCUUGGCAAAAACAAACAAAUUAAGCCGGUUGUGUCUUGCUAUGAAGGCAACAAUUUUGUGGGCUUGAUACUAUUUUCCCUUAGGGCGAGGAUUUCGCCGAUCCAUUAGUCGAUAAUUCGGUGUCAGACUCAAGUAUCGAAGAAAGUGAAUCUUCCGUCAUUGAGCUAUCCUCGGGAUCUAGUGGCGAAUCCGUCCAGCCAUCCACUAUUGAUUGCAAGCGAGGUAUUAAACGGAAAGCCCAAGGGUGUGAAAAAACCAUAGAGACUAAACGGAUCAAAUAUGUUCUCGAAUCCAGUGAGGAGAGUCUAGAAAACCCCUCGUAUGGAGAUAUGCAGGAGGCAUGCGAUAUGGGAGGCUGCCAGUUAAAUCUGAAAUCGAAAUGGAACCUGAUGUUAUGAAUGGUCAGCGGCCCCCCUACAUAAACAUACUUCCAGAUGACAGGCAGUUUGUUGUGGUGGUUUCCUCCUCUGAAUGUGCUAAAAACUUUUGCGAUCUGUAGGAACAGUUCUUUGGGAUUUUUUUGGAUUUCAGAAACGUUUGCUGCUUAGAUUUUAAUGAGGUCAGUCCGGUGAUUGAGUAUAAUGGCCGGCUCUUUAUAGCAGCUGCCAACGAAGAUACAAUGGAAUGGGUGGCGCGCAACGUAUGUUCUAUGAAGCCUUACGUCUUAUGGUUUGUAAGACUAACGGCCUCAUAGAACAUACGUUGCUGGCCACCCAUUCCCUGGUGUCUUCGUUGGCUGCUGCGAUGUAGAGCCGGCCAUUGUAUUCAGUCACCGGAGUGACCUUAUUAAAAUGUAAGCUGCGAACGUUUCCGAAAUCCAAAAGUAUACUAAAGAACUCUUCUAACAGAACGCAAAAGUUUUUAGCGCAUUCCGAGGCAGAAACUAUCACAACAAACUGCCUGAUCUCUGGAAGUAUGUUUAUGUAUGGCGGCUGCUGACCAUUUAUAUUAUUCGGUUCUAUAUCCGUGGCCAAAGGUCGAACCUUGUUUGCAUCGAAUUUUCAAGCUCCUGGAACUGCAGAACUCUAGAUACUACGACGGAGAAGUGGGCUGUGAUGAGCCGGGAAAAUGCGCCCCCUAUAGUCACGGAUAUUUGCCCAAAUGAACAGGUUGAGAUCUGGAUGGAUGCGAAUAGUGUGGAUAUCAUCAAGGAGAGAUGCAACCGCCUCAAACUAUCAUUUUGGAUCGAAUUUGAGUUUUGCGAUUAGAU